rnacentral:rRNA from 1 species
GAUGAACGCUGGCGGCGUGCUUAACACAUGCAAGUCGAACGGAAAGGCCCUGCUUUGGUUGGGUGCUCGAGUGGCGAACGGGUGAGUAACACGUGAGUGACCUGCCCUGCACUUUGGGAUAACUCCGGGAAACUGGGUCUAAUACCGGAUAGGACCUCCUGCUGCAUGGUGUGGGGGGGAGAUUUUCGGCGUGGGGGGAGGUAGUCGCGGCUUAGCAUGUUGUUGGUGGGGUAGUGGCCUACCAAGGCGUCGACGGGUAGCCGGCCUGAGAGGGUGGACGGCCACAUUGGGACUGAGAUACGGCCCAGACUCCUACGGGAGGCAGCAGUGGGGAAUAUUGCACAAUGGGCGCAAGCCUGAUGCAGCGACGCCGCGUGCGGGAUGACGGCCUUCGGGUUGUAAACCCCUUUCGCCUGUGACGAAGCGCGAGUGACGGUACUGGGUGAAGAAGCACCGGCUAACUACGUG